UACGUAGGGGGCAAGCGUUGUCCGGAAUCAUUGGGCGUAAAGAGCGCGCAGGCGGUCGUAUAAGUCGAAUGUGAAAGCCCCCGGCUCAACUGGGGAGGGUCAUUCGAUACUGUUCGACUCGAAGGCAGGAGAGGGAAGUGGAAUUCCGGGUGUAGUGGUGAAAUGCGUAGAUAUCCGGAGGAACACCAGUGGCGAAGGCGACUUUCUGGCCUGUUCUUGACGCUGAGGCGCGAAAGCUAGGGGAGCAAACGGG
rnacentral:rRNA from 1 species